GAUGAACGCUGGCGGCGUGCCUAAUACAUGCAAGUCGAGCGAACAGACGAGGAGCUUGCUCCUCUGACGUUAGCGGCGGACGGGUGAGUAACACGUGGAUAACCUACCUAUAAGACUGGGAUAACUUCGGGAAACCGGAGCUAAUACCGGAUAAUAUAUUGAACCGCAUGGUUCAAUAGUGAAAGACGGUUUUGCUGUCACUUAUAGAUGGAUCCGCGCCGCAUUAGCUAGUUGGUAAGGUAACGGCUUACCAAGGCAACGAUGCGUAGCCGACCUGAGAGGGUGGUCGGCCACACUGGAACUGAGCCACGGUCCAGACUCCUACGGGAGGCAGCAGUAGGGAAUCUUCCGCAAUGGGCGAAAGCCUGACGGAGCAACGCCGCGUGAGUGAUGAAGGUCUUCGGAUCGUAAAACUCUGUUAUUAGGGAAGAACAAAUGUGUAAGUAACUAUGCACGUCUUGACGGUACCUAAUCAGAAAGCAACGGCUAACUACGUG
rnacentral:rRNA from 1 species